rnacentral:rRNA from 1 species
AGCGAACGCUGGCGGCAGGCCUAACACAUGCAAGUCGAACGAACCUUUCGGGGUUAGUGGCGGACGGGUGAGUAACACGUGGGAACGUGCCUUUAGGUUCGGAAUAACUCAGGGAAACUUGUGCUAAUACCGAAUGUGCCCUUCGGGGGAAAGAUUAAUCGCCUUUAGAGCGGCCCGCGUCUGAUUAGCUAGUUGGUUGAGGUUGGCUCACCAAGGCGACGAUCAGUAGCUGGUCUGAGAGGAUGAUCAGCCACAUUGGGACUGAGACACGGCCCAAACUCCUACGGGAGGCAGCAGUGGGGAAUCUUGCGCAAUGGGCGAAAGCCUGACGCAGCCAUGCCGCGUGAAUGAUGAAGGUCUUAGGAUUGUAAAAUUCUUUCACCGGGGACGAUAAUGACGGUACCCGGAGAAGAAGCCCCGGCUAACUUCGUG